rnacentral:ncRNA from 1 species
AGAGCGUUCGGACGCGAUGAAACCCGGCCCGCAAUUCGGGCGCUUGGGCCGGGUGGAGCGAGUAGCGCGACCGCCCGCACGUUCC